CUUGGUCAUUUAGAGGAAGUAAAAGUCGUAACAAGGUUUCCGUAGGUGAACCUGCGGAAGGAUCAUUAUCGAGUUUUGAACGGGUUGUCUGCUGGCUCGCAAGGGCAUGUGCACACCUGUCUCAUCCACUCUCAACUUCUGUGCACUUUUCAUAGGCCGGCUUGUGGGUGCGUUCGCGCACUUGUAGGUGUCGGGCUUAUGCUUUAUUACAAACGAUUCAGUUUUAGAAUGUCAUACUUUGCUAUAACGCAAUUUAUAUACAACUUUCAGCAACGGAUCUCUUGGCUCUCGCAUCGAUGAAGAACGCAGCGAAAUGCGAUAAGUAAUGUGAAUUGCAGAAUUCAGUGAAUCAUCGAAUCUUUGAACGCACCUUGCGCUCCUUGGUAUUCCGAGGAGCAUGCCUGUUUGAGUCUCAUGGAAUUCUCAACCUUCAGCUUUAUUGAUGAAGGCUUGGACUUGGAGGUCGUGCCGGCUCUCGUAGUCGGCUCCUCUGAAAUGCAUUAGUGCGAACGUUACCAGCCGCUUCAGCGUGAUAAUUAUCUGCGUUGCUGUGGAGGGUAUUCUAGUGUUCACGCUUCUAACCGUCUUCGGACAAAUUUCUGAACUCUGAGCUCAAAUCAGGUAGGACUACCCGCUGAACUUAAGCAUAUCAAUAAGCGGAGGA
rnacentral:rRNA from 1 species